UCAUGUAGGGCAGCAUCUGGUGCGGCACCGGGGACACCAGCACGGAGCCGGGGCCCUCGUAGCCUGCGACGGAAUGGAGCGCACGGCACGUAAGAUCUGGAAACUACCAUACAGUCCCUACCUUGAUCCUAACACAGAGAAGACCAAGUUCAACCACUAUUUAAAAUUCACCACCCUGAGUGUCGCCCCCUCGCUUGCGCUGCCCUUCCCGCGGGCAGGCCCAGACUGGGCCCCCGGCCCCGGCCAAAGGCAGCUCCCUUGAUUUGCGGGAUCUUCCGCCGGGCGCGGCCCGAGGCGAAGCGAAGCGAACCCAGCACUUCGCGAAGGCGACCGCACACCCUGGAGAAGGUAGGGGACAGGCUGCUCCAGCUAAAGCAGCGCCCGAGGUGGCAGAGUCGUCCUUUCCCGGGCCACUCAGACCACUCCAGCGGAAGAAGCACACAGUACCGGACUGAGGAGAGACUGGCCAGGGCUGGGUUGGGGAACACUUCGGGCUCCCCAAGAAGGGCCACCUUCAACUCCUGCCUGGCGUUCCUGACUUCUCUCUAGCAAAUAAAGCAGGACCCCCACCAC